ACUGAGCACUGACCAAGACUUGAUGUGCCUGAACUGUUGUUCUGGGUUCCAAAGAUUAUUAGUGAUAAUCCAUCUUGUGUCUCAACAAAGCUUAGCCUCCAACUGGAGAGGAUGACAAAGUUAAGCCAGAAAAAGACUAAAGUAGCCUACUAAGACUAAAGAUCAGGUUGGGCACUGGAUAGAAUUGUGAGAUCAGUCCUGGGGCAGACAUAAAAGUGCUGGACGACCUCUGCAAAAUUUAGAUUCAAGUUAGUGAAGACUAUGGGUCAGCUCUACUAUUUUGCUGCAAGGAACAAAUUGCUCAAGAAUCAAAGGUGGGGCAAUGUCUGUUGGUCAUCGCUGGAUUCUUGCUGAAAAUAGGACAGAAAACAAAAGAAAUGGAAAACAUGCUCAAAAAACACGAAAUCAAGUUAUACUUUUCAUAAGGCACCACCAAAAACCCUGUACUGGCUGAUAGUCACACAAAUGUACUACAGAAUUAAAAUAUUGACAAGCAAGGAGUUUCUUUUACGUGCAUUGAACUGCAUCCAGAAUCUUAAAAUUAAGAACAAACUGACAUUUCUCGGACACCAAAGACAAAAGCAGAGAAGAACAGAAGUGAAGCACAGUUAUGAUGAAGGUAGUAAGAAAUACUUUUGACAGAGUGAACACAGAAGUUAAAAUACCAAUGGUGGAAAUGUACAACUGUGGAGAGAAGGGAGCCUGGAUCCAUGUACCUGCUUGCCUCUAAAAUGCUGACCCAAGACAGCAAGACUUCUCAAAGCCAAAAAAAAAAAAAAAAAAAAAAGGCUCCUUGCCUUGAAAUAAGAAAAGCUCUUCUUUCCAGAAUCCAAUCUAGUCAGAUUUCUGAACUAGAUGACAUACUCCUCCUUAGGAAGAUAAGGUGAUCUGCCUCUCACUUGGGGUUUUCUUCUUGGUACAAACACAAGUAGCUGGGAUCUAGACUUUGCUCCUCUCCCAUGACUAACAGGAGUAUCUGUAGGGCAUUAUAUGCCAGGUACCAGUGGAAGGAGAGUAUACUCUCACUCCUCUCCAACUGUCCUAAGGAGAGCCAAGUAGUCAGCACCUCCAGAUGGUACCACCCCUAGGCUGUAAACCUCUAACUAAUAUCAGCUGGCCACAAGCCACAUCCUACAUGCCCUGCUAGCAUACCAAUGUAUUAAUGCCAACAGCCACUCUAGAGCUCAAUCAAAUGUCUGGCCGUAAAGUAACAAACCAUACUCAGAGGAGACAUAAAUUGAAAUAUUGGCUGCUGUACCAAAGACACCCUCUGCAUAGAUGUGUUGAAGAGAAUGUAGGUUACACAGUCCAUGCAAAGAGGAAGUCAGCAAAAAGGACUUUCUCUGAAGGCCAUUCGUCUUUGGAAGCAACAUUCUGAGUGGAUCUAAACCACUCGAUGACUAAGAUCUCAAUGUGGUCCAUUUCCCCCCAUGUCCCAAACUAACCCAGCAACUGCUAACUGGUCUCCUUAAGAUCCUCCAUUGGUAGUUUGUAGCUCAUUAUGAAGGAAGGAGGUGGUGCUUGACCUGGGCUAUCUGGCCCUUGCUUCUUUGCACAGUUUAUACAGAUGUAAUCUUCAUUUUCAGCCAUUUCUGGAGAUACACCCACACAAACUUGAUGAAACCACUCAUCACAGCCACCAUCACAUUGUACCCAGUCUACCUGUAGGAGACAAGAUUGGGGAAUGUUUAGGUUACAUAAACAUUAAGCCUAGAAAAAAAGCAAACCAAAAAGCUUUCUUGGCUUAAAUGAUAGCAGAUAAUUGGGAUGUCCAGAGACAGACAAUGACUUCUUAUGGGACUACUUUUUAAAGACAGAAACUGGGAAGUUAAAAUCCCCAAAUUCUAUUUUACCAUAAUAUGUCCACAAAAUUGGGCCUCUUAGGUACUCCAUUACCUCAUAAUUACCCGGGGCUCCUUUUGAGGCAGAAACAUGUUUGAGAAAAACUUGACAAAAAGGAACUUCUAAUAGAGCAGCCAAGUAGUUUUAGCUAAUAUUAACAAUUUCUAGGCUCUAAGACAAUGCAAUUAUCAAUCAAGAAAGGAAGAAUACAACAAUGUGAAGGCAAUCCUGUGUAUUAGCUUUAUUUCAAAGAGAUAAGCCAAAGUACUAAGAGCAUUAAAUACCUUUUUAGAAAAGCAGUCACAUAGGCCACUUUUAAAACUAAUAUUUUUUAUUCUUCUCUUCUUCCGUUACAAAUACAACUCCCUAUAAAAAGUUAGCAAAUAUCAGAGGUCAAAUCUUACAAAUUAACCAAUUAAAAACAGUCAAAGUCACAGGUCAAUAGAUCACUCUGGGGUUUCAAAUUAAAGUCUGUAUCACUUGAUAGGUCAGUGGCAGAUGCCAGGCAAACUUUGACCCUCCAGAGAAUAUUGUGAUUAUAGGAGGCUAGAAAAUGACUGUAAUUUGGUGACUUUAAGCCUUGGGCCUAAAGUUAACAAGUUAACAAUAAGGCGAUUUGGGCCUUUUGUAUUUGGAGGGUGACAGUGGUAGUUUUUAUAGCUGAUGUCAUGGCAGAUGAGAACCUUUAGGAUUAAAAGCUAUUCUUCCUCUCCCCAGUACAAAGUGGAUCAUCUCACUGGCAACUUACUGAAAAUGCCAGUUUUUAGAGCCAAGAAAGAGGUAUGAAAGGAUCAAAUAGGUACCUCAGUACAGCUUAUGAGAAAGAACAGAGGAAGGAGGUUUUGGCUAGGUAAAUGAGUUUCAGGGAAAGUGAGUACUUUCCAAAAUUAGUUUCCAAGUACUAUAAGAAUUAUCAAAACAAUGAUACUCAUGUUAGUGGUUUUAGGGUUGUGAUACAGUGUGGGAAAAAUCAUUUGUCAAAAUAAUCUUUCUGCUUCCAUUGUUCCUAAUUUGAGGCCAAUAAUUUAAUCUCAUUAAGGCUUAAUUUCCUCAUCUGUAAAAUGGAGGUAACAUCUUGUUUACAGGAUUAUUUAGAGGAACAAAUGAAAGGCAGCUAAUUCUCUGCCUAGGAUAUUGGAGGCAUUUUUUUAAGAUCACAGUUUCAUGGCUCUACUCAUUAUUCUACCUUACACAAAAACCAUUAUGUACCUUGAAAUAACUGUCUGCAGCACUGCUUCUCAAAAUGUGUAGACCCUAAGAUAGAAUUACCUGUUGCAUUUGUUAAAAGUGUAGCUGAGAUCCAUCCCAAAUCUACAGAUUCAGAGUAUCUUGGGUGUACAAACCAGAAGCCUACUUUUUCAGUCAGAUAUUCUGAAUUUAAUCAUCCCUGGCACUCUGCGAUGCUACUUGCUAGGAAAUUCAGAGCAAUUUAACAAUUCCUUCCUAAAACAAAUUGUGGUUUUGUUUCUGUAAUUGUUUCUAUUUAGCUUCUGAAGCUGUGUAAUAUAGAAAAUUGAUCAAAAUGUCCUAUUGCAGCAAACUAGUACAUGAAAAAACAAAGGGGAGAUAAAUGACUUCUGAGCAACAGACUAAAAAUACACAUACUGCAGCCAUGAAGAUUUACAAAGUGCUAAUCUGACAGUCUAUCUUCUCCACACUGUUUUAAAGGGUAAUACCUUGAGAACAACUCUUAGAAGCAGAAGAAUAAGCAUGUUCUGCACAGAAUGAAGGCGCUGUCCACAUGUGAGUGACCACCUCUUCAGACUUGAUGGGAAUUUCUUCAUCACAAAAAAGAUUGGGUUCCAAACUACUGGAAGACUUCACACUGGCUGUGUCCUGAAGAAAAAACAAAGAAGGGUAUUAAGAAUUAGAACCACUUCAUUUAUCCUGUGA